UUCAGAAAGUCACUCUAUCGAGCGCGGACAUGGGUUUGAGUGUAGACAGAGGGAUAAAGAAGGCACCUUGAUUGGAACUGCUGCCAGGCCCUCUCUGACAGAGUUUUGAUAAAGCUAACUUCUUCCUCAAAAUAGAAGAAAAGCGAAGAAAAACAUCUUCCUUGACAACUUGGAAGGUGUACUGCAGAAAGCAUGCAGUCACACACCUUGCAUGGACUGAUAUUGAUUUUCUUCAGUGCCCAACAAUCCAAAUGGCAGAGGAUCACUUACCUUCCCAGUUCUUCUCAUCACACAACGCUGUCAGAUCCAACGGGGGCAUUUCAGGGACAAAGCUCUCUUGCUGAUCAUCGGCAUCUUGAUUCCUCUGUUGUUUGGUGUCAGAUAUACUGGGAUGCUCCUGAAUCUUCAUUGUGGGGCUCUGCAAUAACAGCACAGUGUCCCCCAAUAGCUACUGUUCACCAAAAUGCAAAAACAUUUGCAGCGAUUCCACGCCUUCUGAAAGUAACCUCCCCAGCCACAGCUGCUAACACUUCCAUUGCAGAAAUAAAACCCGGGCUUAGAUGCCCCGUGGGCACUAUCUGGCUACUCUCACGCAGAAAGCCACUGUCCAUCUGCCAGCCUUUAACUUUUCUUCUCGUGGUGGGGGAGAGGCAAGAUGAUUUCCUUAGGCUGCUCCUCCAGAUGACUUCAGGCAGCUGACAGGUCGUGAAUGAUUACUGACUGAGGCCGUGGAAGGAGGAGAAGGAGUUUAUGUUUCUUAAAGGAGCAUGGCCCACCAGAUGGUAAACAACAACAAAAACCUGGCUCCGGUUGCUAAGGCUGCGGCAGCAACAUGGUGUGUCUGGCAAGCAGUGUCUCUGCCUCUUAGGUAAACAUUCCUGCAAGGACAGGGGCAGAAGCUGGGGGCACCACACUCCUCUGAGCCCUCAGGCUUAGAUCGAUUCAAUGGGGCUGUUUUCUCUGGAGUGUGGGGAGAACAGACUAUUUAUGGAGGCGCUCUGGGUAUUAAAGUAUUGUUGCGCAAAUUCAAAUGGCUCGGUUUGGUGUUUCAUCUCGGCUAGCAGGGAGGAAUAGACCCUGAAAACAAGCCAAGGUUACAGGGAGAACAAUCUUCCCCUCCCAGGAGAAAAAAAAAAAGUAAGAGCUGGCAAGUCGGUGAUUUGUAAUUUAUAACUUACAAACAUGUAACGGCCAGUUGUUUUUCUAAUUAUUCAUGUACCUUAAAGCUACAUUUGGCUCUGCCAUAGGCAGCACGGACACCUGGCUAGAAGGGGAACCUUUGCUAAAAGGCAGAUAUUUAUGCUGAAUGCUUCUGUGUGCAUGUUUAAAAUAGCACUUAAAUUAAUUCUUUUGCAUCAACAUUGUCUUGGUUUACCUUGUUCUCCUGGCAUAUUGUAAAUGAAGCUGUUCUGUCUCUUACUGCUUUCAUAAAACCAUAAAUGACUGUGCUUAAAUCGUUUUACUCAAAAAUGUACUUUUCCAAGUAGCACAGAUCUGCACAAAAUAUUUUCUUUGGGGUAAAUGAACAUUUAUUUUUAGUUAUCCUAUUAUUAAUUGAAAAAAAAAACCCUAAGAACAUCUGGAAAUCAUAAGUGAAUUCACUAAUGUAGGAGAUGUUGUUAUUCUUAAAAUAAAGUGCUAUUUAAGACUUUCAGUUCCUUUUAGCAGCUAUCCGACCCACUUUGAGAUCACCAGGGGAAUACUCAGUGCUUUUGUACUAUUCUGUUUCUACUGAGUGAAGCAAGAAGACUGGCAUUUUCUUCACACUGGGAACAGAACAAAACUUCAGUGAGGUCGAGGAUUUGGGGACGUAGCUGAGGACUUAGGAUGAGGAACAACAACACUAGAGGCUGCUGGACAAUGCAGCUUUCCCAGGAAAAGCCAGUCUUAACUGGACACGGGAAACCACCAGCAGUCACUGUUUGGCCGAUAAUAAAGGAGUGUAGACAUAACACAUCCCCAAGGUUCUCGUCUGCCACAAGCUCCAGUGGCUUGUGGUGAGCACUGAUUGUCCUGUUUCUCAGGGUCAGUGAGAGCUUGGACUUGAGAUGGUUGGUGGGACAAGCAACGCUCUGUCUUGCAUGGCAAGCCUCAACUUCUUCCUUUCUCCGCUUUUUCUUUUCCUUCUUUUAUUUACUUACUUUUUUGAAGCAGGAGGGGAAAAAAGGGAAAUAGGCUUCUAUGAUGAAUGUUCUGUUUGUUAUCAAAAGUAUGCUUCUAAUCACUCUUAAUCAGUGGGCUUAGAAGGCAUAAAGAACAUAAAAAUGUCUUGAAAGAAUUUAACAUUUUAUUGACCUAGAAUUCUGGAAUAAAAUUAUCUCUUUCAGAUAAUGCAAUGCUCUUCAUAUAGUUAAUAAUUUUUUGCUCCUCUUACUUCCACAGCAGAGACUCAUUAUAAGUUUAUUGUUUGACUAUUUCA